rnacentral:rRNA from 1 species
AUGGAGGGGAUGCUGAAGGAUUUGAAGUUGUCAGAGGCAGAAAAGAAAAGUGUCAAAAUCGGAAGAAGGCAGGUCUGCUCCUCAACUGUAAGCAAACUACAGGCUGUAGGUAAGAUUUUCUCAGAGAGGCCAGCGAAAGCAGAGUUUGUGGGAAGAACAUUAGGAAAUUUGUGGUGCCCUUUUGCUGAACUUGAUUGCAAAGAUCUUGGUAGAAAUCAUUUUCCGUUUACCUUUCCUGAUGAGACUAGCAAGAAGAAAGCUUUGGAUGGUGGACCGUGGAGGUUUAAUAAAGAUUUGAUAGUGAUUGAAAAAUUUGUGGCCAGUAAAACAAUAGAUGAAUAUGAGUUUAAAUGGAUCCUUAUAUGGGUCAGAGCUUAUGGCAUCCCCAUGGGGAUGAUGAGUUCAGAAACGGGAGAUUUAGUCGGAGAGAGAAUAGGAGAAGUACUUGAUAUUGAUGUGGAUCGGGACGGAACAGCAAUGGGCCAGUUUAUGAGAAUCAAAGCCCGAAUGGAUAUUACAGUGCCAAUAACAAGAUUCAUCACUUUGGAAAUUGAAUAUGACGAGGAAGAACAGGAGGCCAUGUGUGAGGAGUUGAUGAGUAAUGCAGAGAACAGAGAGAAAAAAAAAGUGGAGAAGGUUAUAGAUUUCAAAUAUGAGUAUCUGCCUGAUUUUUGCUAUUGUUGCGGCAUCAUUGGGCACACAGAAAAAUCAUGCCCAUCUAGAGCCAGAAGAGAGGGAGCUAGACAGUAUGGGCCGGAUCUGCGGGCAAUUAUCUAUAAAGGAGGCUCUAGUGAAGAGAGGAGUAGAAGCUCAAGUGAUAAGGAAAAUUUCUGGUUAACAAAUGUUGCUGGAAACUGGGGUGGUAAGCAUGGAAGUGACAGUCCAUCAUGGCGAAAGAACACUCAAUGGGGCAAGGAGGAAGAUGAAGCAAGGAAAGAGGAGGAGAAAGCAGUUGAGUGCCCUUCGAAGUUUAGUCAGGAUGACCAAACGGGGUCCAAAGAAAGCGAGAAACUAAUUUUUAAGGAUAAAUCAAAAACUCCAGAUUUGUUUGAAGGAAUAGAAAACACUGAUCAUGUACCCAAGUCAGAAUCUGGUCGGGAGUCAGGUCAGAGGGGGGUAGGAGAAGAAAAUUUGAUACACGAUGGAACAAUACAAGUAGACAAGGUGAAGUCCCAAACUUUAACAUCCACAACAGUAGGACAAGUAAUUUUGGAUAGGAAAACCAUGAAAGGAGGGAAACGUCAAAGUCAGGGUACUUUCAAGCGAUAUGAAAGAUCUAAUGGAAAUAAAGGUCAGGGUCAAUCUUUCAAAACAGAGUUGAAGAAAAGAAAUGUCGACCUGAUGGAAUUAGACUUGGAGGCUCAGAUUAUGAAGAAAGCAAGAAUGGAUGUGGACGAAGUGUUUGCGGCUAUAGAGAAAGAGGAAAUAAACAACCCUGAGAAGAAGAACGCUGGGCUGGAGGGUCAGCCCGGCGAACCAAAAUGA